CUCUGGUUCAUACGGCAGCAGCGUCACGUGCACCACCUUUACUCCCAAAGUUCUCCAUCGAAAGAAGGAACCCGGCCAACACUCGUCAAAGGGGAGAAAUCUGCAGUGCAGAUACUCAGUAGGGGGCCCAGAGGUCUCCCAGAUGGUCCUCAGUGGAGCAAGGAGGUCCAAGGACGCUAUGGCAAACCAUCGGGUGAACAAAGUCUCUAUACCCAACCAUCAGCUGGGCAGGACCUUUUGGCCCACUGCAAAGAGAGAGAAACAUCUGGAAAGGAGGAACAUGGCAGCCCCCUGAUGGAAUUGAGUAAUAGAGUAAAACAGCCAGCGUGGAAAUACUGGCACUAUGGGGAAUGAAGAGUUAUGGUCCACACAGCCCAGCAUUCCUCUUGACUGAAGCAUGGUGGUGUAAUGAAAAGAACACAGACUUUAGGAGUCCAAAGCCUGGGAUCCAAUCCCAGUUUGACCCCUGAUGGAGAAACUGAGGUUCAGAGGAAGGAGGGUCAUGCUUUCAUCAAAGUCACAGCAAAUAAGGUAAAGCCAGGAUUUGAACCUCAAACCCAGUAAAAUGAUUUCCACUCUCUGUACAUCAGUAUUAUGAAGUACAAGGUCACUGACUCAAUCCCAGAAAAGUCAAACAACAGAAGAGGAACCUCUUUAUAUGGCUAGUUGAGAAGUUUACCAGAACCUCUAAAACUGAGACCGAAAUUAUGGAGCAGAAAAACAGAGGAAAAU